rnacentral:lncRNA from 1 species
CUGCCGAUUUCUUCUCAAUCACUAUGGGAUUGUUCCUGUGAUUCCACAACUCUCCUCCAGGUUCAAAUACAACAUGUUCCAUGCACAGUUCGUGUCUUGAAAGCUCUACUGCUCUGGUCUUGUUCUAGACAAAGGGAUUGAUCAGAAAAGUACCCAAGAAUAUCUUUUGAAUCACACGGAUCAAUGACAAUCAGUUGUCCCUUUUUUGCAAGCCGUCUGUGGCUCCCUGGGUGUCUCUUCUGGUACUAUGGCUUGUUUGAAAGGAACCAUGACGUUCUGAACAGGGUGCUCAUCUUUCUGAAUGGCAGCUGAUGAUUCUUUGGCUUGAUCUCCUUGAAUAAAUGUACCUGAUACCGGCUCUGCUGAAUUAAGUUCUGAGACUGAAGUGAUUGACUCCUGGUUAUGUUCUUCUAAGGAUGGACGUGUAGUGUGGGUCUCCCUGAAUUGUUUCUCCACAUCCAUAAUCACUUGAGACAGCUUCUUAUGUCCUCCUCACUGAGACAGCUUGUUGUCUUGCUAGGUAAACCAAUAACACCGGUUGAACUUGAUCUCACUCUGCCUUGUUGUUCCUGGACUGAGUUUGCAGAGCAUGGCUUUGUUUCAGACUGUUUUCGAAGCACUGCCUUUUGGUACUGUCUUGGAACAU